rnacentral:rRNA from 1 species
UACGGAGGGUGCGAGCGUUGUUCGGAAUUACUGGGCGUAAAGGGCGUGUAGGCGGGUAUAUAAGUCAGAUGUGAAAUACCUUAGCUUAACUAAGGAAGUGCAUCUGAAACUGUAUAUCUUGAGUACGAUAGAGGAGAGUGGAAUUCCCAGUGUAGAGGUGAAAUUCAUAGAUAUUGGGAAGAACACCGGUGGCGAAGGCGGCUCUCUGGAUCGAUACUGACGCUGAUACGCGAAAGCGUGGGGAGCAAACAGG